rnacentral:tRNA from 1 species
GGAAUGUGGCUCAGUACUAGAGCGCUUGCCUAGCAUGUAUGAAGCCCUUGGGUUUGAUUCCCAGCACUGCCA